AUACCAGCAGGGGAGAUCACCAUGACUAGGAAAGUGAUUUCACAGGGGGCAAGCCUCUUUCAUUGCACUUGGGAUUUUCUGUGGCCCUGCAAUUUCCCCAAUUGGGGGAAACUCCACUCCAUACUUUGUGACAGGUGGUGGACUGUAUACAUGCUUUUUUCCC